AUUCCAGCUCCAGUAGCGUAUAUUAUUACUGUUGUAGUUAAAAAGCUCGUAGUUGAAUAUCUGGCGUUGGGAAGCCCUGCCCGCCGCGAUUCGCGUGUGAGUUGUGGGGCGUCCCCGCCAUCCUGUGUGGGAGCCCGCCUACCCUUCAUUGGGCCGGGCGGUGCGAGCACACUCAGUUACUUUGAGAAAAUCUGCGCGUUCAAAGCAGGCACACGCUAUGAAAGCUUCAGCAUGGAAUAACAAGAUAGGACCUGGGUCUCUAUUUUGCUGGUUUCUAGGAUCGAGGUGAUGAUUGAUAGGGACAGUUGGGGGUGCUUGUAUUUAACGGCCAGAGGUGAAAUUCUUGGAUUCGUUAAAGACAAACUACUGCGAAAGCAUUCACCAAGGAUGUCUUCAUUG
rnacentral:rRNA from 1 species